AUGUCGGGAAAUUUCCCGAAAAAUCGGUAAAAAUACCGAUAAAUACCGAAAUAUCGGCGAUAUUUUCGAAAAAUUACCGAAAUUUCCGUUGACCGAUAAUCGGUGACGAAUAUUGUGUCGGAGCCGGCCAGCGAUUAAGUCAACCGGAAAAAAUGAAUGUGAACCGGCCAGCGAUUAAGUCAUUUGCUAGAACUUGUUCAAGGGAACAUAGUUCAGAGGGAGGUAGAGAGUAGUUGGAGAGAGACUCACUCAUUUGUGUUGACCUCUGUAUUUUGUGGGAAGAGAAGAAAACAAAGAGGAGAUAAUAAAGUCGUUGGUGUCAUCUGAUAAUCAAGAAAUUCUUUCCAUAGUUGCCAUUGUUGGGAUUGGGGGGUUGGGUAAGACCACCCUUGCCCGGUUGGUGUACAAUGAUGAGAAAGUGGUGCAAUUUUUUGAGCCUAGAAUAUGGGUUUGUGUUUCUGAUCAUUUUGAUGUGAAGUGGCUGGUAAAAAAAAAUUUAGGAUCCAUGAAUAUUCAAAACAUGGAAGGUUUUGAGUGGGAUGAUUUGAAAGAUAGGCUUCGGGAAGAACUGAGUCAAAAGAAGUACUUGCUAGUAUUGGACGAUGUUUGUGAUGAAUAUUUUGAGAAGUGGGAUCAGCUGAAAGCUUUGUUGAUGGUUGGUGCUGAAGGGAGUAAAAUUGUAGUCACCACUUAAAGUCAUGCUGCUGAAAGUGUUAUGCACAGUGCUUCCACCAUUAAUUUGCAACCUCUGGGAAUGGAUGAGUCUUUGUAUUUAUUUUCAAAAAUUGCACCUAGAAGAGAACAAGAGAAAGUACAUCCCAACCAUGAGGCAAUUCGAAGAGAAAUUGUUGAAAUGUGCAAGGGAUUUCCUCUUCCCAUUAAGACUUUAGGAGCAAUGUUGCACUUUAAAACUGAAGAAAGUCUAUUGUUGUCUAUUAAGGGAACUUUACAUGAAGAUAUUAAUCAUGGUAUUCUUCCACUUUAGAAGUUAAGCUAUGAUAAUCUGCCACUUCCUUUGAAGCAAUGUUUUGCUUAUUGUGCGUUAUUUCCGAAAGAUUAUGAAAUUGAGAAAAAGUUGUUGGUGCAAUUAUGGAUGGCACAAGGCUAUAUUGAAUCUUCAUAUGGAAAUGAGCGUUUAGAAGAUAUUGGCAAUCAAUACUUUGAAGAUUUAUUGUCUAGGUCAUUGUUUGAGGAGGUUAUAGAGGGUGUCAAUGAUAAUAUAAAAAGGUACAAAAUGCAUGACUUUAUCCAUGAUCUUGCACAAUCAGUUAUGGGAUUCAACGUUGGCAUUUUAACAGAUGAUAAGAAGAAUAUUUUUGGAGGCGUUAACCAUGUGUCAUUGUUUGGAGUCUCUGGGCCCUUACGUCUUGUAAUCAACUAUUUAGAGGCAAAAUCCUUAAAGUCCUUUUGUGUGUUUUCUUGCCAUGGUUGUAAAUAUGAACCAAUGGUGGAUACGUGGAUUUAAAGUUGCAAGUCUUUACGUGCCUUGGAAUUAAAAAUGUUGGAAGUUAAGAUAGUGCCUGUGUGUUUAGGCCAAUUACACCAUCUAAGGUAUCUUGAUCUUUCCUACAAUGAUUUUAUGGUACUCCCAGAGGCCAUUACAAGUUUUAAGGAAUUUGCAGACGCUAAAACUUGUUCAUUGUAGAAAUCUAAAAGGAUUUCCAAAAAAUACACGAGAAUUGAUCAAUCUUAGGCACUUGGAGAAUGAUGGGUGUAUAAACUUGACUUCUAUGCCAUUUGGAAUAGGAGAUUUGACUUUGCUUCAAAGCCUGUCCAUCUUUGUUGUUGGGAAUGGAAGGGGGCAUUCAAGGGAUAAUAAAAUUGGUAGCUUGAUUGAAUUGAAAAGGCUUAACAACCUAAGAGGAGAGCUAUACAUCAAAAAUCUUGAAAAUGUGAGGGAUGGUGCAUUAGAAACCAAGGAAGAAAAUUUGAAGAGAAAAAAAAUACCUGCAGUCUCUGAGAUUAGAAUGGGGGCCAAGUUAACAAGAAGCUGAGGAUUGUGAGUUAGUGAUGGAAAGCCUCCAGCCACACCCAUGCCUGGAGAAGCUCUAUGUAAAAGGCUAUGAAGGUGGGAGGUUUCCAAGUUGGAUGAUGGAUGAGUUGCAUUUGCGGCUCCCUAACCUACUUCAUAUUCAUUUAGAAGGAUGUAAAAGAAGCCAAAUUCUGCCAUCCUUUGCUCAACUCCCUUUUCUCCAGUCUUUGGAUCUUAAUGGUCUUGAUGAGGUGGAGUACAUGAUGGAGUGUUCAUCAAAACUGCCAUUCUUCCCAUCUCUUCAAAGACUCCAGCUCAGUUAUUUGUGUAAAUUGAAUAGAUUGUGGAGGACGGACUUACCAGCAGAGCAACUUCCUUUGUUUCCUUGUCUUUCUCAAUUAGUUAUUGAAUAUUGUGGUAAUUUGACAUCAUUGACACUCCCUUCAUCUCCUUGUCUUUCUAAAAUAGAGAUCACGUGUUGUGAUAACUUAACAUCCUUGCCACUGCCUCCAUUGCCUUGUCUUUCUAAAUAACAUAUCGAUCAAAUCCCUAAGUUGGCAUCCUUGGAACUGCAUUCAUCUCCUCAUCUUUGCUAUUUGUGUAUCAAAAGGUGCCCUUGACAUCCUUGAAAGUGUCUUCAUUACCAUGUCUUGAGGUACUAGACCUGUAUAGAGUCAGAGAGGAGGUAUGGCAACAACUGAUGUUUGUCUCUUCUUCGUUGAAGUCUCUGUCUAUUUGGCAACUUUAUGAGACUGUAUAGGCAACUCCGCAGCACUUUAUAGAAUUUGAAAUUGAUGACUGCCCUCAGUGAUGGAGAGUGAACUGAUUCAGAAAGCGAUUUCAGUCUGGAGUUUUGGGAAAACGAUGAGGUUUGAAUUUUCUCAGGGCUUUCAACUUGAUUGGGAGAGGAAUAGUGGAUUUAAAAUUCGUUGAAGCUUUGUUCAUGCCCAAACAACUUACAGAAGCACUCAUGUCUCCCGAAGUGCAUUUUCCUUCUAAUUACAGAAGCUUUGUUCUUAAGCUCAUUCUGAACUAUAGUGUUGGGUUCUUCCAAUUACAGUUGUUUUAAAAAUCUUUCCAAAUCUCUGUGUUUUAAAAAUCGGACCCAAACUGGAACCGGGGUCAAGAUCACCACCUUUUCCUUUUGUUUGUUUUUUUUUUUUUUUUGGGGAAAAUGGGCCAAAUUUCCCCUCACAGCCCAAUAGUCUGUGCCCACUCCUAUUAUUGCAAAAUGGACCAUUAGGGCCUACACUGGCCCACAUUGGGCACCAUGACCCAACAACCAUUUGGUUUUUGUUAAGAGGGAAAGAGGUUUAUAAAGCU